GACAGACUCGACCGACUCGGACUGACACGACAGACUCGGACUGACACGACAGACUCGGACUGACACGACAGACUCGGACUGACCGACCUGACAGAUUCAGACUGACCUUGACUGGCUCGGACAUACUUCGACUUACUCGUGUGUACUUAGACUGACUCUCACUGACUUGGAUCGACUCGUACAUACUCAGACGGACUCUGAUUGACUAAUACAUACUCAGACGUACUCGGAUUGACUCGUACGUAUUCGGAUUUACUGGGACUAUUUGGUAUGUACUUAACCCUACUUGAGCUCAAGAUGUGUACAAAGAGGAGCCCUGCAGUUACAGCCAGUCAUUGCGAGAGGCCAGCAACAGAUUGGGUGGGGCUGUCUUGGGUAGGAAGAUCUUACCACAGAUGCCCAAGGAGUCACACUGAGGAGAAAGAAAUUGGAUAAGAGUACCUGUUGGUGGUUAUAGAUGAGGAUUUGAAUGGCGAACUCUACACCGUUGCACAUCUUGUUGAUCAGCCAACGGACAUCCACAGAGUUAAACCUGCUUUUGACGCUGUUGGCCGGGCGAACUCCUCCAACACCAAUGUUGACGCCAUCGAAGACUCGGUACAACCUGCCAGGAUUUGCUGUCAUCGAGAACCUUGCAGCAUAACUGUUUUCUCAAGUGGAUGGGAAUCUUCCGCUCACGUCCAAACAGUCUGCGUACUGGAUUUGAAGAGCGGUACAGUCCUGGCCAGUGCAACAAAUCUUGAGCUCCCAACACUCUCAAACAUCCUGGUGUAAAGUCUUUAAUUGGAAUGUAGUAUCAGAGCACCAGACUUCAUACCUGCUGCCAAGCCAGACUGUAAUAGGCAUGUUGAGGCAGUGGUACAACGACUUUGCAACAGGUUUCCAAGCUCCACCAAGCAGCAGAGCCAGAAUGCGACCAGAUGGAGUAGAAGAUCCAGACCACGAUUCUACAAAGUGGCACUGUCAUGGCAGAAACCAAAAUCCAACUGCCAUUCCUGGCACAACAAAAGCUACGCAGUGACAACACCAGGCUGGCGGAACAAGGGCUGCGUCUGCCAGAUAAACCGCUGGCUUCAACUUCAGCACUGCUUCGGCAACGAACUCGAGCAGUGUUUGAGAGUGCUUCUUCGUACCUGCAUACGAUUUCCACACCAUCGGACACAGCAGGUAUUGCGCCACCGAAGAUGAGGGAGUUCCAGCCCAUUGCCCUGCAACACAUCCAUGUUUGGCUCCACCAUCAUUCUCUUCACCAUCUUUCAACCAGCCUACAUCUGUGCAAACUAUUCGUACCCCCUGUAGCCUUUAUCGGAACUCCAUUCACCUCCACCAGACCAUCGCCUACUGUUCACUAUCAGACACAACGCAUCAAGGAACAGGAGUUCCUAGAGUGGAUAAGAGGUCGUGAUCAUAAUUGACUGCAGAUCACCUCCACUAAUGUCUGUAUUUUCACCAAUAACUCAAGGAUACCCCUGCUAGUUCAAUAUGGUUCCAGAGGAGAUCAUGACAACAACAAGAACUGUGAAAUCGUCCCAUGCAAGAGAUGCUCUACAACUUCAAUUUGAACGUUUAAUUACCCACUUUUCCCAUUUGCUACCCUUGUAGGGUGCUAGAGCUCCUGUAAGUUGUGUGCCAACCAGGUCAUUCCCUUAAAUUGUUGGUGAACGGAGCAGCUUUAGGGCACCUGCCUGCCCUACUUGGGUUGUGAUGAACAUCUCAGUGGGUCAGAAAAAUGUGUUUGUAGGUCGCAAGAUUUUUGCUACCAUCUAGGAUGGAAACAUGAACAAUUUCCAGAAGCUCUAGAAUGAACCGGAUAUGCCCAAAUAAAUUUAAUUGACUGAUGGUUUCGUGUAUGAGCCAUCCAGUCUGUGACGGAAGGAGCCACCCGUGUGAUUGAGGAGACACAGAUGAUGUCCUGUUGCAGCCCGAGAUGGGAGUUAGCAUUUAAAAAUGAUAAGUUAAUAUUGUAAAAAUUAAGCCCAGUACAGAGCUGCCUAAUUGUUAUCAGUUCACAAAUUAAAGCCUUGUGAAAAUUGGGAAAAAUAUAUCACUCUUACCAUUCACUAAAAUAUUGUGGAUUUGUAAUAGCUCUGGUAAAAAUCCAAGUUGUUUUAAAGUGUAGUUGUGAAUCAAACUUAUGUAAUCUCUUUCCUCAUAAGGUUGGGAAAGGAUGGCUGUGUGGGGAGAAGGGAGGCCAUUUCAUGCAUGUGUAAUAAGUUUUAUAGAAGAGUGUUGUAUAUUUCAAUAAGGAGAAAUUUGUACCUCUCUGGUAUGAAUAAAAUGUUAAUCAUAUUGUAAAAUUAUAUAAUCUCUUUCUGCAUAAGGUUGGGAAAGGAUGGCUGUGUGGGGAGAAGGGAGGCCAUUUCAUGCAUUUGUAAUAAGUUUUAUAUAAGAGUGUUGUAUAUUUCAAUAAGGAGAAAUUUGUACCUCUCUGGUAUGAAUAAAAUGUUAAUCAUAUUGUAAAAUUAUAUAAUCUCUUUCUGCAUAAGGUUGGGAAAGGAUGGCUGUGUGGGGAGAAGGGAGGCCAUUUCAUGCAUUUGUAAUAAGUUUUAUAUAAGAGUGUUGUAUAUUUCAAUAAGGAGAAAUUUGUACCUCUCUGGUAUGAAUAAAAUGUUAAUCAUAUUGUAAAAUUAUAUAAUCUCUUUCUGCAUAAGGUUGGGAAAGGAUGGCUGUAUGGGGAGAUGGGAGGCCAUUUCAUGCAUUUGUAAUAAGUUUUAUAGAAGAGUGUUGUAUAUUUCAAUAAGGAUAAAUUUGUACCUCUCUGGUAUGAAUAAAAUGAUAAUCAUAUUGUAAAAUUAUAUAAUCUCUUUUUGCAUAAGGUUGGGAAAGGAUGGCUGUGUGGGGAGAAGGGAGGCCAUUUCAUGCAUUUGUAAUAAGUUUUAUAGAAGAGUGUUGUAUAUUUCAAUAAGGAGAAAUUUGUACCUCUCUGGUAUGAAUAAAAUGAUAAUCAUAUUGUAAAAUUAUAUAAUCUCUUUCUGCAUAAGGUUGGGAAAGGAUGGCUGUAUGGGGAGAUGGGAGGCCAU